rnacentral:rRNA from 1 species
GAGUUUGAUCCUGGCUCAGGAUAAACGCUGGCGGCGCACAUAAGACAUGCAAGUCGAACGGAAGUCGUUAUAAAUGGAUUGAAGAUUUAUCAGAUUGAAGUUUGUAACAAUGGCUUUAGUGGCGGACUGGUGAGUAACGCGUAAGCAAUCUACCUAUUAGAGGGGAAUAACAAUGAGAAAUCAUUGCUAAUACCGCAUAUGCCAUAAUGAAGACAUCUUCAUAGUGGGAAAGGAGCAAUCCGCUAAUAGAUGAGCUUGCGUCUGAUUAGUUAGUUGGUGGGGUAAUGGCCUACCAAGACGACGAUCAGUAGCCGGACUGAGAGGUUGAACGGCCACAUUGGGACUGAGAUACGGCCCAGACUCCUACGGGAGGCAGCAGUCGGGAAUAUUGCGCAAUGGAGGAAACUCUGACGCAGUGACGCCGCGUAUAGGAA